UACAGAGGGUGCAAGCGUUGUUCGGAAUUACUGGGCGUAAAGGGCUCGUAGGUGGCCAACUAAGUCAGACGUGAAAUCCCUCAGCUUAACUGGGGAACUGCGUCUGAUACUGGAUGGCUUGAGUUUGGGAGAGGGAUGCGGAAUUCCAGGUGUAGCGGUGAAAUGCGCAGAUAUCAGGAGGAACACCGGUGGCGAAGGCGGGUCUCUGGGCCGAUACUGACGCUGAGGAGCGAAAGCGUGGGGAGCGAACAGGA
rnacentral:rRNA from 1 species